rnacentral:rRNA from 1 species
AAGGGGGAGGAAGAACAACAGGGAUUGCCCCAGUAACGGCGAGUGAAGCGGCAACAGCUCAAAUUUGAAAUCUGGCUCUCAGGGCCCGAGUUGUAAUUUGUAGAGGAUGCUUUUGGCGAGGUGCCUUCCGAGUUCCCUGGAACGGGACGCCACAGAGGGUGAGAGCCCCGUAUGGUCGGACACCGAGCCUCUGUAAAGCUCCUUCGACGAGUCGAGUAGUUUGGGAAUGCUGCUCAAAAUGGGAGGUAUAUGUCUUCUAAAGCUAAAUAUUGGCCAGAGACCGAUAGCGCACAAGUAGAGUGAUCGAAAGAUGAAAAGCACUUUGAAAAGAGGGUUAAAAAGUACGUGAAAUUGUUGAAAGGGAAGCGCCUAUGACCAGACUUGCGCCCGGUGAAUCACCCAGCGUUCUCGCUGGUGCACUUUGCCGGGCACAGGCCAGCAUCAGUUCAGCGCGGGGGAGAAAGGCUUCGGGAAUGUGGCUCCCUCGGGAGUGUUAUAGCCCGCUGCGUAAUGCCCUGCGCCGGACUGAGGUACGCGCAUUGCAAGGAUGCUGGCGUAAUGGUCAUCAGCGACCCGUCUUGAAACACGGACCAAGGAGUCGUCUUCGUAUGCGAGUGUUCGGGUGUCAAACCCCUACGCGUAAUGAAAGUGAACGCAGGUGAGAGCUUCGGCGCAUCACCGACCGAUCCUGAUGUUCUCGGAUGGAUUUGAGUAAGAGCAUACGGGGCCGGACCCGAAAGAAGGUGAACUAUGCCUGUAUAGGGUGAAGCCAGAGGAAACUCUGGUGGAGGCUCGCAGCGGUUCUGACGUGCGAAUCGAUCGUCAAAUAUGGGCAUGGGGGCGAAAGACUAAUCGAACCUUCUAGUAGCUGGUUUCCGCGAGU